rnacentral:lncRNA from 1 species
UAUUAUUCCCUUUCUGAGUCACACCAAGGGUUACUGCAUAUAGCUGCACAGUCUGUACUACAUUCCCAGUGAUCUGGUCACAGCCCUAAUUUUCCUUUGGGAUCCACUGCUCACUCUCUCACAGUCAACACAAUCUGAUAGGAUACUACCACUGGCCCUUUAUAACACAUGACUAGGCCUAAUGCAUCCCAUUCCUCUGGCCUCUGGGUUCGUGGUGGUCACAUGAACUAAACCUAAACUAAUCCACUCAGUUGAAUCACAGAACUCUUAAUGUGAUUGUACAGCCUUAUGACAUAAUAUUCCAAAUAAAGACUGAUUUUUUUUUUUACA